rnacentral:misc_RNA from 1 species
AACAAGGCGUACCUGCGGACCUGCGGAAGGAUCAUUACCGAGUUUACAACUCCCAAACCCCUGUGAACAUACCUAUACGUUGCCUCGGCGGAUCAGCCCGCGCCCUGUAAAAAGGGACGGCCCGCCCGAGGACCCUAAACUCUGUUUUUAGUGGAACUUCUGAGUAAAACAAACAAAUAAAUCAAAACUUUUAGCAACGGAUCU